GGGCCCAAAAAUUGGUGAGAAGCCAUGCGAGUUGUAUGGGAUACCUAAAGUUCCCAUGGCAAACUGCUCAGUAACACCUGUUCAACUUGCCCUAUAGAGAAAAAUAACCUCGGGAAACUGAGGAUAAUAUUUCAUAGUUGAAAAGGCUUGGAAAAGUUUUUCAAUAAAAUGGAUAAGGAAAAUGGUCUUUAUCUGCUAUAGGAUAGGAUCGUGUUCGAUUAUGGUUGUUGGUGAGGUAAUGGCUCACCAAGCCGAUAAUCGAUAGGGGCCGUGAGAGCGGAAGCCCCGAGAUGGGUACUGAGACAGCGACCCAGGCCUUACGAGGCGCAGCAGGCGCGAAACCUCCACAAUACACGAAAGUGUGAUGGGGUUACCCAAAGUGUUCUAUUAAGAACUGUGGUAGGUGAGUAAUGUUCCCUACUAGAAAGGAGAGGGCAAGGCUGGUGCCAGCCGCCGCGGUAAAACCAGCUCUUCAAGUGGUCGGGAUAAUUAUUGGGCUUAAAGUGUCCGUAGCUGGUUUAGUAAGUUCCUGGUAAAAUCGGGUAGCUUAACUGUCUGUAUGCUAGGAAUACUGCUAUACUAGAGGGCGGGAGAGGUCUGAGGUACUACAGGGGUAGGGGUGAAAUCUUAUAAUCCUUGUAGGACCACCAGUGGCGAAGGCGUCAGACUGGAACGCGCCUGACAGUGAGGGACGAAAGCCAGGGGAGCGAACCGGAUUAGAUACCCGGGUAGUCCUGGCCGUAAACGAUGCAUACUAGGUGAUGGCACGGUCAUGAGCCGUGUCAGUGCCGUAGGGAAACCGUUAAGUGUGCCGCCUGGGAAGUACGGUCGCAAGGCUAAAACUCAAAGG
rnacentral:rRNA from 1 species